GCCUCCUCCAAUACGGCGCUGACCUGAUUCCACACGGCCGUCUCGGCCUCGGUGGGCUGGGCAUCUGAGACGAGAUGAGGGAAGGAAAGAGGACGGGGAGGAAGUGAACGUAUGAAGGUCUCAUCAGAUCGUGCGUCUGUACCGAAUAUUGCAGAAGUGGGACUACAGAGGCUCUGAUAACAACGAACAACACCCACAACGACACGGCAUUACACAAUCGGCAAACCGGUAGUCACUGCAGUGGUGGUCUUGUGACUGACCACCUGCUCCAACCUCAUGAAUACAUCUCGAGGUAAGUAACGAAAAAAUAUGAUCAGUGAGGAAUGACGAGUAAGAGAUUUCAGUUGACGUUUGAAAUCGGAUUGAUAAAGGAUGACGGGCAAAAUCUGAGGGCUGUUGAAGGACGGGGUCUGACAUUAGCGGCGGUCUGCUGGCCCGGCGCCACCAGCCGGGCCAGCCAAAGUUCACUGAUGCAUCAUACAAGAAAAAUAAUACGCAAUCUGUUUAAUUCCGUGACGUCAUUGCUCAACUUCAUUUAGCGUUACAAUAGAAGCUUAGCAUAUAUAUUUUUUUUUAAAACUGUUCUCCGUGUAACGCGGUGCAGCAGUGCAAAUUAAGACAAUCAAUCAAAACCGAGCAGUCAAGAGACACAUUUGUGCAAGUAUACCUAAUCGAGUGUCCGACGAACAUACACACAAAGAGUAGCGAUAUGCGAUCCAGGCUGAGAGCAGCGCUCGGCUUAUGGUUGCCAGGUAACUGUUGGCCUGGUGAUAUGGUCCAUUCGCCUCACAGCUAAGGAUGCUUGACGUGUGGAAAAAAAAAAGUCUCCAUCACGCACACCACACACUUAUCUGAUAAUGGCCAUCUUUAAUAUUUUUCUUCAAAACACUGCUGCAAAUGGACAAAAGCCGCUAACCCGUUUUUGUUUGUUUGGUUUUUUUUUAAAUGCGUCACCACUUGUUUGCCGGUAUCCUUUUAAGUCCCUCUCUCCUCUCUUUUGUGUUAUUCCGCGGAAGCGGGGUCUGCCGUUACUCAACACUUAAUAACUUCCACUCCCGCCUCGUUUCGCUUUGCGUCUCGGCGCAUCUCUUUCCACUUCACACUUCUCUUUUUCGGAUUGUUAUUUAAAGCCGCGGCUUUUCUCGGGUGCCCGAGUUUGCUCGUGAAAGCAGAAGCUCUUAGGAUACAAA